AGGGUUUGAUCAUGGCUCAGGACGAACGCUGGCGGCGUGCUUAACACAUGCAAGUCGAACGGGCCUGUCCUGGUUUUUGCUGGGGUGGGUUAGUGGCGAACGGGUGAGUAACACGUGAGUAACCUGCCCCUCACUUCUGGAUAACCGCUUGAAAGGGUGGCUAAUACGGGGUGUUCUGGCUGUGCCGCAUGGUGUGGUUGGGAAAGAUUCACUAUUUGUUUGGUGUUUUGGUGGGGGAUGGGCUCGCGGCCUAUCAGCUUGUUGGUGGGGUGAUGGCCUGCCAAGGCUUUGACGGGUAGCCGGCCUGAGAGGGUGGGCGGUCACACUGGGACUGAGACACGGCCCAG
rnacentral:rRNA from 1 species